UGAAUCUCACCCGGCAGAGCUUGACCAGCAGCCGGAAGCGAGUCUUGCGUGGUGUUCGGGCAACCGACGCUGCGAAGCGUAGACAGCGAGUCCAGAAGCCAUGCUAUUGAGCCUCGAAAGAGGAUUUCACGUUGGAGCUUUCGUUUUCUUUUUAGCGGGAGCCGUGCAACAACCGCGUUUUGGUGAGCGGCCUGUUGUCCGACCGGGGUCGAAGAACA
rnacentral:ncRNA from 1 species